rnacentral:rRNA from 1 species
GUCAACGGCUAGACUAUACGUUUAAAGCACCGGUACUUGUCCGAUCAACGGAGUUAAGCAGCGUCGGGCGAAGUUAGUACUCAGGUGGGAGACCGCUCAGGAACACUUCGUGCUGUUCACU